AGCAGCCGCGGUAAUUCCAGCUCCAAUAGCGUAUAUUAAAGUUGUUGUGGUUAAAAAGCUCGUAGUUGAACCUUGGGCCUGGCUGGCCGGUCCGCCUCACCGCGUGUACUGGUCCGGCCGGGCCUUUCCCUCUGUGGAACCCCAUGCCCUUCACUGGGUGUGGCGGGGAAACAGGACUUUUACUUUGAAAAAAUUAGAGUGCUCCAGGCAGGCCUAUGCUCGAAUACAUUAGCAUGGAAUAAUAGAAUAGGACGUGUGGUUCUAUUUUGUUGGUUUCUAGGACCGCCGUAAUGAUUAAUAGGGACAGUCGGGGGCAUCAGUAUUCAAUUGUCAGAGGUGAAAUUCUUGGAUUUAUUGAAGACUAACUACUGCGAAAGCAUUUGCCAAGGAUGUUUUCAUUAAUCAGGAACGAAAGUUAGGGGAUCGAAGACGAUCAGAUACCGUCGUAGUCUUAACCAUAAACCUAUGCCGACUAGGGAUCGGACGAUGUUAUUUUUGACUCGUUCGGCACCUUACGGGA
rnacentral:rRNA from 1 species